GUCAUUUCACCAUCAUGCAAAGAAGAUGAAGCAACCAGAGGCGGCAGCAGCAUACAGGUCUGUAGAAGCCUAACAGCCUUCCUGGAUCUCUUGCUGCACAAAUGGUCACCCUUUCUGCACACCACAGGUUGACAGGUGGUUACUGUCUUCAGCACAUGUCAAAGGGACAAUUUGCUAUCAAAUUAGUCUUCCUUUCAGUAAUGUGUGGUCCUCCCACAAAGAAAAACUGAUCCAGCAUUUCGUCCACCUACCUACCCCAGUUUGAAAAACAAUUUGAGCUGAAUUUGCUUCACUCUGAAGAAAGAACUUUUUAGAAAAUUCACUAAACCAUUCUGGG
rnacentral:lncRNA from 1 species